rnacentral:lncRNA from 1 species
UGUUAGCUAGCAAAUUAUCAUGCUCAACUUCGCAGCUUCUUCCUUCCCACUCUUUCUUUCUUUCUUUCUCUCAAAACCUAAGAAAUUACCAUGGAUUUUUCCACCGUUCUCCCUCAAUCAAAGAGAAUUCACCCCCCCCCCCCCCUCUCUCUCUCUCUCUCUCUCUCAAUAGAUACCUUUCAAGAUCUGUUAGCCACCAUGAAAUAAAUCAGCUACCCAUCAUUUGUUGAACUGUUGCUUGUGGAAAUAGAUUAGUAUGAGAAAACCCAUCAAUGGUUUAACUAUAUAUGCUCCAACCAAAUUUCAUAUUCGUGAAAUCUGUCAAGGUAAUUGAGUUAGGAUUUUUGCCAAUUUUGCUUAGGGUUACUCUGCUAUUUGUAAAGAAAUCUAUUUGAAACUACAUAUCUUGCUUAUUUCCAAUUAUGUUUGAGCUAGGUAUGUUUUUUUAUGUCUCCUUUGAGUUGCAAGUAGAUUUCUUCCCAAAGUCAUGUGUUAGAUUUUUUGCCCUGAGCUUUUUUAGUCUAUGUACGGUACUGUAAUUUCUCUGAGAUCUGUCCACCGUUUAACAUCGGAGAGAGUAGUCCAUUGUCCUGCAAUCUGUCAAUGAUUACCUUUCACAAAACUAGAAUGAAUUCAUAUGCUUUCAGGUAAUGCAACUUGAACACAAGCUAUCUAUAUAUUCCUUCAAUAUCAUAGAGAUGCGUAUUUUUUUUUUUUUUUACUCCAAGCUUGCUUUAAUUUCAGAGUGAGGGCUGGGAUGAUAUGGGCAGUUGAAGAGAGAACAAUGGAAUUAUAAAAGAAAUCCGAGAAGUGGUUAUGGUGUAUAGUGUAUGGGGAUUGGUUAUGGAUUAAGAGUCUUUGAUAAUCUUCAUUUUGACUAUUAAAUGUUUAUAUUUGUUGUAUAUGAACACUCUUUUUAUCAAUAAUGCCAUAUAUUUAGAUUUUUGCAGUC